rnacentral:rRNA from 1 species
UUUAGGUUGGUUGGUGUGUGUGAUGCUGGGGACCUGAACUGGUAGUAGCCAAGUGAUGGGGUGACGCAGGAAGGUAGCCGUGCCACGUGAUGGAUAUCGUGGUGUAAGCGUGUGGCCCGUGUUCUAGGUAAAUCCGGAGCACAUAUAGGGUGAGGCGUGAUGCGUACCCGUUUUGGGGAAGUUGGUGAUCCUAUGCUGCCGAGAAAAGCCUCUAGCGAUGUGGAUAUACGGCCCGUACCCGAAACCGACACAGGUAGUCAGGUAGAGAAUACUAAGGCGAUCGGGAGAACUGUGGUUAAGGAACUCGGCAAAAUGCCCCCGUAACUUCGGGAGAAGGGGGGCCAUGACUGGUGACCGACGUGGUUGAGCUGGUUGUGGCCGCAGAGAAUAGAGGGAAGCGACUGUUUACUAAAAACACAGGUCCGUGCGAAGACGGGUAAGUCGAUGUAUACGGACUGACGCCUGCCCGGUGCUGGAAGGUUAAGAGGACCUGUUAGACCCCUUUUGCGGGUCGAAGCGGAGAAUUUAAGCCCCAGUAAACGGCGGUGGUAACUAUAACCAUCCUAAGGUAGCGAAAUUCCUUGUCGGGUAAGUUCCGACCUGCACGAAUGGCGUAACGACUUCCCUGCUGUCUCAACCACAGACCCGGCGAAAUUGCAGUACGAGUAAAGAUGCUCGUUACGCGCGGCAGGACGAAAAGACCCCGGGACCUUCACUAUAGCUUGGUAUUGGUGUUCGGUUCGGUUUGUGUAGGAUAGGUGGGAGACUGUGAUACCUCAACGCCAGUUGGGGUGGAGUCGUUGUUGAAAUACCACUCUGAUCGUAUUGGACAUCUCAACCUCGGCCCGUGAUCCGGGUUAGGGACAGUGCCUGGUGGGUAGUUUAACUGGGGCGGUUGCCUCCCAAAGAGUAACGGAGGCGCCCAAAGGUUCCCUCAGCCUGGUUGGCAAUCAGGUGUUGAGUGUAAGUGCACAAGGGAGCUUGACUGUGAGACUGACAGGUCGAGCAGGUAGGAAACUAGGGACUAGUGAUCCGGCACCGGCUUGUGGAAGCGGUGUCGCUCAACGGAUAAAAGGUACCCCGGGGAUAACAGGCUGAUCUUCCCCAAGAGUCCAUAUCGACGGGAUGGUUUGGCACCUCGAUGUCGGCUCGUCGCAUCCUGGGGCUGGAGUAGGUCCCAAGGGUUGGGCUGUUCGCCCAUUAAAGCGGCACGCGAGCUGGGUUUAGAACGUCGUGAGACAGUUCGGUCUCUAUCCGCCGCGCGCGUAGAAACUUGAGGAAGGCUGUCCCUAGUACGAGAGGACCGGGAUGGACGUACCUCUGGUGUGCCAGUUGUCCCGCCUGGGGCAUGGCUGGUUGGCUACGUACGGAAGGGAUAACCGCUGAAAGCAUCUAAGCGGGAAGCCUGUUCCAAGAUUAGGUUUCUUUUGAGGUCCCCUAUAGAUGAUGGGGUUGAUAGGCCGGAUCUGGAAGCAUCGUAAGGUGUGGAGGUGACCGGUACUAAUAGACCAAACAUUCAACAC